GAUAAACGCUGGCGGCGUGCUUAACACAUGCAAGUCGAACGAAGUUUUUCCUUCGUUGGAAACUUAGUGGCGGACGGGUGAGUAACGCGUGCGUAACCUGCCCUGUACAGGGGGACAACAGCUGGAAACGGCUGCUAAUACCGCAUAAGCCCUUAGCACUGCAUGGUGCAUAGGGAAAAGGAGCAAUCCGGUACAGGAUGGACCCGCGUCUGAUUAGCCAGUUGGCAGGGUAACGGCCUACCAAAGCGACGAUCAGUAGCCGAUCUGAGAGGAUGUACGGCCACAUUGGGACUGAGACACGGCCCAGACUCCUACGGAAGGGAGCAGUGGGUAAUAUUGCACAAUGGAGGAAACUCUGAUGCAGCGACGCCGGGUGAGUGAAGAAGUAUUUCGGUAUGUAAAGCUCUAUGAGCAGGGAAGAAAAUGACGGUACCUGACUAAGAAGCACCGGCUAAAUACGUG
rnacentral:rRNA from 1 species